UACGAAGGGGGCUAGCGUUGUUCGGAAUCACUGGGCGUAAAGCGCACGCAGGCGGAUCGUUAAGUCAGGGGUGAAAUCCCGAGGCUCAACCUCGGAACUGCCUUUGAUACUGCCGAUCUUUGAGUCCGGGAGAGGUGAGUGGAACUCCGAGUGUAGAGGUGAAAUUCGUAGAUAUUCGGAAGAACACCAGUGGCGAAGGCGGCUCACUGGCCCGGUACUGACGCUCAGGUGCGAAAGCGUGGGGAGCAAACAGG
rnacentral:rRNA from 1 species